GACGUAGGUGGCAAACGUUAUCCGGAAUUAUUGGGCGUAAAGGGUGCGUAGAUGGCAUGAUAAGUUAUUGGUGGUAAAUCGAGGCUCAACCUCGUGGAAGCUGGUAAUACUGUCAUACUUGAGUGCAGAAGAGGUUAACGGAACUCCCUGUGGAGCGGUAAAAUGUGAAGAUAUAGGGAAGAACACCAAUAACGGCGAAGGCAGUUAACUAUUCUGCUACUGACAUUGAGGCACGAAAGCGUGGGGAGCAAAACGG
rnacentral:rRNA from 1 species